UCCUUGAAAACAUCCCUCGGAAUAUCUGAGCUCAUUGUUUACAAAAUAUCCGCGUUUCCGAGAAAUGAAACCUGACGCCUAUCUAUUUUCUGUCAGCUGUUAGACGAGCUGGACCAUAAAAGAAGAAGAACGAGGAGGAGUGGAGAAGAAGGAGUCAACAGACAGGGCCAGUUUUGGGAUCAAGAAAAUGGAGAUUUUACUGAAGAUACUUUGUGUUGGACUUGCUGUCACCCCAGUGUCCUGUUUCGGUAAUCCAUAUCUAUAUAUCUAUCUAUUUAUUUAUCUAUCUAUCUAUUUCUAUCUAUUUCUCUUUAUGGUCAUGACACGUGCGGGGCUCAAACUCUCGAUCUCCCGGUUACGAAGUCACCGCUCUACCACGGAGCUACCACGGCUGAUAAUGACUACCUGCUGUGUAAAUAUUGUUUUUUUUUCCUGAUUUGGAUAACAGCAAUGACGUGUCUUAAAGACGUGCAUAUCAAAAUUACACAAGAAAACAUAGAUAUGCACGGAAUGAAUAUCAAAAUCUCUUUUGUUUUACUUCCGGGAUGUAAGAAAUUUGAUUUGAUCUAAACCUUGGUGAUCUAGUUUGUCGGCGA